rnacentral:rRNA from 1 species
GUCUAUGGCCAUGCCACCGUGCAAAAGCCCGAUCCCAUCUGAUCUCGGAAGCUAAGCAGGGUCGGGCCUGUUUAGUACUUAGAUGGGAGACCACCUAGGAAGACCAGGUGCUGUAAGUG